CCUACGGGGGGCAGCAGUGAGGAAUAUUGGUCAAUGGACGAGAGUCUGAACCAGCCAAGUAGCGUGAAGGAUGACUGCCCUAUGGGUUGUAAACUUCUUUUAUAAAGGAAUAAAACGAGGCACGUGUGCCUUUUUGCAUGUACUUUAUGAAUAAGGAUCGGCUAACUCCGUGCCAGCAGCCGCGGUAAUACGGAGGAUCCGAGCGUUAUCCGGAUUUAUUGGGUUUAAAGGGAGCGUAGAUGGGUUGUUAAGUCAGUUGUGAAAGUUUGCGGCUCAACCGUAAAAUUGCAAUUGAUACUGGCAGUCGUGAGUACAGUUGAGGUAGGCGGAAUUCGUGGUGUAGCGGUGAAAUGCUGAGAUAUCACGAAGAACCCCGAUUGCGAAGGCAGCUUACUAAACUGUGACUGACAUUGAUGCUCGAAAGUGUGGGUAUCAAACAGGAUUAGAUACCCCAGUAGUC
rnacentral:rRNA from 1 species